GAUGAAGAACGUAGUGAAAUGCGAUAAGUAGUGUGAAUUGCAGAAUUCAGUGAAUCAUCGAAUCUUUGAACGCACAUUGCGCCCCUUGGUAUUCCAUGGGGCAUGCCUGUUCGAGCGUCAUUUGUACCUUCAAGCUUUGCUUGGUGUUGGGUGCUUGUCUUUUUGUUAAGACUCACCUCAAAGUCAUUGGCAGCCAGUGUUUUGGUAGUAAGCGCAGCACAUUUUGCGUCUUGGUCCCUUAACAGCAGCAUCCAUCAAGCCAUUUUCUCACUUUUGACCUCGGAUCAGGUAGGGAUACCCGCUGAAAUUAAGCAUAUCAAUAAGCGGAGGA
rnacentral:misc_RNA from 1 species